rnacentral:rRNA from 1 species
GGGCGCAAGCCUGACGGAGCAACGCCGCGUGAGGGAAGAAGGCCUCUGGGCUGUAAACCUCUUUUCUCAAGGAAGAAGAUCUGACGGUACUUGAGGAAUAAGCCNCGGCUAAUUCNGUGCCAGCAGCCGCGGUAAUACGGGAGUGGCAAGCGUUAUCCGGAAUUAUUGGGCGUAAAGCGUCCGCAGGCGGCCUNGAAAGUCUGUCGUUAAAGCGUGGAGCUUAACUCCAUUUAAGCGGUGGAAACUACGAGGCUAGAGUGUGGUAGGGGCAGAGGGAAUUCCCGGUGUAGCGGUGAAAUGCGUAGAUAUCGGGAAGAACACCAGUGGNGAAGGCGCUCUGCUGGGCCAUAACUGACGCUCANGGACGAAAGCCAGGGGAGCGAAAGGGAUUAGAUACCCCNGUAGUCCUGGCCGUAAACGAUGAACACUAGGUGUCGGGGGAAUCGACCCCCUCGGUGUCG